rnacentral:miRNA from 1 species
UCAGGAGCUGCUCGUAGGUGA